rnacentral:lncRNA from 1 species
AAUCGGUUGUGUUUUUAAAAAUCAGGAAAAUGUUUACACCAUGAUUACCUUCAUUUAAAUGUUCUCAGAACAUGCUUCACAACCUCCAUUUCUGAACUUUGAUGUUGGAUGCAUUCGAUCUGCCACAAGGGAGGCGUUUGGAGUGGGAGGUGGCCUUCGUGGACAGCUCGCAGCUGGGAUCCUGGACCCAGUCCUGCCCUUUGCCCGGAGCGGAGUGGCUCUGCGCCCGCGGGGCGGCCGGGACGCGGUGCAGGGACGCGGAGAGCCAGCGAGGGGAGCUGCAGGGUAACUUUUCCCAGGGAAAGCAGCCGGUCGUCCCCGCUAGAAGCCACCCAGCCUUUUGUUUGUUUUCCUGCGGGAGGCUGGAAGGCGGCCGCGUUCCUGCUGCACUGCCAUGCGCCGCGCGGCCCGUGCGAGUCUCCGGAGCUCCCGGGGGGCCCUGCAUGGACCCCUCGGCCUCUCCUAGCAGGGAUCGCCCCCGUCUGCCGUUCCCGAGCGGGCCGCUGCGCCCCCCUCGCCGAGGAGCUGCGCUCACCGCAGGGGCGGGCCACCGCCUGCGCUCGCGGCGCCACAGGCUUUGACAGUCAUGAACUUCUGAGAAGGAUCUGUGACUUCAGUAUCAGAAACCUCAUAUCUGCUGGGGAAUGUACAAACAGAGGCAAAAGACGGAUCUUUGAAAAUAUGUAUUUGGGAGAUUGUCAUGUAUUGAAUACCUUGUGCUGGUGCUGCCAUCGAAAAAUCUGGUUACACUCUGGGGAGGCCUGCUUCCGCUGCAGGGCUGAGCCGCCUCGGCCUUGA